UACGUAGGGAGCGAGCGUUGUCCGGAUUUACUGGGUGUAAAGGGUGCGUAGGCGGCUAAGCAAGUCAGAUGUGAAAUUUAUGGGCUUAACCCAUAACCUGCAUUUGAAACUGCAUAGCUUGAGUGAAGUAGAGGCAGGCGGAAUUCCCUGUGUAGCGGUGAAAUGCGUAGAGAUAGGGAGGAACACCAGUGGCGAAGGCGGCCUGCUGGGCUUUAACUGACGCUGAGGCACGAAAGCGUGGGUAGCAAACAGG
rnacentral:misc_RNA from 1 species